UGGGUUUGAUCCUGGCUCAGGGUGAACGCUUGAAGUAGGCCUAACACAUGCGAGUAAGUAUGCAAUGCAUACAUGCGAACGGGUGAGCAAAUCCCAUAAGAAAACUGCAUUAAAGAUAAAAAUAAAAUAGUGUACUUUCAUUUUAACUAAUGUCUAAAAAACUUUUUAAGUUUUCAUACAACUUUAGAAUGUACUUGUGGAAGAUUAGGUUGUUGGUAAGGUAAAUGCUUACCAAGCCAUCGAUCUUUAGUUGGUCUGAGAGGAUGAUCAGCCACACUGGGACUGAGACAAGGCCCAGGCUUCUUUUGAGGCCAGCAGUGAGGAAUAUUGGACAAUACACAAAAGUGUGAUCCAGCUAUACUACGCGAACGAUUGAAGACUCCUUGAGGUUGUAAAGUUCUACAGCAUGCAUCAACAUGACAUAUGCAUGUGCAUUAGCCCCGGCCAACUUCGUGCCAGCAGCCGCGGUUAGACGAUGGGGGCGAGCGUUAUCCAUAAUGACUGGGCGUAAAGGGUUCGUAGGUUGUUGUUGGUUUUGAAUACGAAAGCCACGCUCGGAAGAGAUGAAGUGUUUUCAAAUGCCACCAACUUGAGGAAAAAAAAGGUAGCUUGAAUUUUGCAAGGAGGGAUGGUAUCCAGAAAGAUGCAAAGGAAGACCGAUUGGCACAGGCGGGCUACUAGUUUUUUACUAACAUUGGGGAACGAAAGUGUGGGGAGCAAACAGGAUUAGAGACCCUGGUAGUCCACACCCUAAAAUCUGGGUGCUAAGGGAUAAAAAUUUAUUUGUUCAGAAAAAGCGAACGCGUGAAGCACCCCGCCGGAGAAGUAUGACCGCAAGGUUGAAACUCAAAGGAAUUGACGGGGGUCUAUACAAGUGGUGGAACAUGUGGUUUAAUGCGAUACUACGCGCCUAACCUUACCAGUUCUUGAUAUGAUGAUUUAUUUCUGCAAAGAAAGUACAUAGAAUAAUUGAUUUCUUAAGUCAUCACAGGUGUUGCAUGGCUGUCGUCAGCUCGUGUCGUAAGAUGUUUGGUUAAGUCCCUUAACGAGCGCAACCUCAACUUGCAUUUGCUUCUACAAUCUAAACAAUUAAAGAAAAAUGCAAAAACUGCCCACAAUAAAUGGGAGGAAGGUGGAGAUGACGCCAAGUCCUUAUGGCCCUUAUGAACUGGGCUACACACAUGUUACAAUGGGAAAAACAAUAUGGCACACACAAUAAUAUGAUGUAUAUCAACAACCUUUGCCUUAGUUCGGAUUGAAGGCUGCAACUCGCUUUCAUAAAGGUGGAAUCACUAGUAAUCGUGGAUCAGGAUGCCACGGUGAAUUUGUACCUGGACCUUGUACACACCGCCCGUCACAUGCUGGGAGUGUGUUUUGCUAGAAGCUUGAAAGUUACAAUCAAAAAGUUUUUUUGGUCUUGGGCAAUCAAGUCAAAGAGAGAUGCAUAACUGGGAUGAAGUCGUAACAAGGUAGUCGUACGGGAACGUGUGGCUG
rnacentral:rRNA from 1 species